rnacentral:lncRNA from 10 species
CCCAGAUUGCAGUUGGCCUCUGAAGUGGGGGCAAUCCUGUGAGACUGAGCCCUUAACCUAUAGGAUGUGACUCUAACUCUAGGUAGAUAUUACCAGAACUGAAUUGAAUUAUAGGCCUGGAACUUUCGAGCUCACCCCACCAUCCUUUUGAAAGAGGAGAGAAGCUGGAGAUUGAGUUAAUGCUCGGUCAUGCCUUCUUGAAAAAGCCUCCAUAAAAAUCCCUAAACAAUGAAUUGGGAGACCUAUGGACUGCUGAACACAUGGAGAAGCUGAGAGGGGUAGCAUCUCCUGGCGAAGUAUGAAAGUUCCAGUCUUCAAAUCAUGGCUUAGUCUUUCUGGUUACCAGCCUCCAUUCAGAUGCCCACCAAAAGUUGCCUCAUUAGAACAAGAGGCACUCCUAUCAUCCAGGAAAUUUCAAGGGAUUGGAAGCUCUGUGCCACCAGAGACACCCAGUUGAUGUUUGCUGGAGAAUUAGUAUGUGGGGAAAAAUAAAUCCUACCCAUCUGGUGUCAGAAGUGAGGAACUGAGAAUGAGUGAAUGUAAACUUAAUGAAGACAAAGAUUUUUAUCUUGUUUUGUUUACUGUUAUGUCCUCUGGAGUAAGAAGGAAGCCUGGCACAGAGUUACUGCAAAAUACAUAUUUGCAUACAGAAUGGAUAUUUAAACACAUACCCCAUCAGUAUUCCUCUAUUUCUGCUAAAGAGAAGUUGACCAAAAACCAUCAACUUGUUCCAGAAUCUUUGGAUCAGGACCAAGGUCAGUCCCUGCCAUAGCAAUUCAAGUCACAAGGCCCUGUCAUAUAAGAACCAACUUCUAUCAACACUUUUAUAAACAACCGAACCAAGAGAUUUGCUCUGUAAACCACUGAAAACGGCAUUUCCUCUAGGGAGACAUAUUCAGAACAAUUAGAAGUUUCCACUCUGACAAUGAUUUGAGAUUUUGAACUAUAUUAAAUACUUUUUUUAGAAAUAGAUGGAAUAUAAAUAAAAAAUGAAUGUAAUCUCCGUUAGAGCCAUCUGGUGUUGAUAUUUCUGCUGUACCUCUGGAGAACUCCUAAGAGCCAAAAGGAAAGGAAGUCGUAAUUCUGUUCACUGCAGCUGCUGAAGUUGUCACCAACUUUUUUUCUACAUUUACCUAUAAAUGAGAACCAGCAGUCAAAAUAACACAUUUUCUUAGUAUAAAGAGUUAUUAGUCAAAUAGGGAAUGAUUUACAUUGUUAUAACCCAAUACUAAUGACUUUUGGUCCUUUAAAGUUCCUGGAUUUAGACAAUGUAAUUUCUCAGGUGUGGGCUAAUAAUGGGAGAAAAAUAGAGGCCCAGAGUAGUUUUGGUAAAGAACUGCUUAUUCUCAGUUCAUAGUUUAACUGCAGCAAACACAUUUUUCCCUUAAUCUUCCCUUUGCAGAGUAAAUACAGUAUUCUCAAAUCUUUUCAUUUUUCAUGAGAAAGGCUUUUACUCUAAUCUAUGCUUAUUGUCACUGAUGUCUGCAAAAUUGCUUCCAAUCUGGGUCUUCCUUGAGUUUGUUGACUUUAGAAAUUACGUGUACUUGUCUCAUGAAGGUAAAUAGGCUAUUUUGUGACUACAAAGUCUCUGCUUAUGCUACUACUCUUGUUUCAUUCAUCAUGCAAAAGAAAUACAGUGAAUAAAACAGACUCCUCUGGGGCUACUGUGUCCAGAAGACCCCAGGUGGGCUGCUUAGUCCCGGGCUGUUGACUAUGUAGUAAAACAAAAAUAAAAAUCUUCCCAGCUCUCUAAAACUAAUACCCCAUGAAGUACCAAGAUGUGUGAAACUGUUCAGUUAGGCUUCAUUUCUUUGGUCAAGCUGACCUAGGGCUCUGUACCCACAAAAAUCCAAAUAUGCUGAGAUAGAAUACUGAGUGAUGCUACUGUCUUUCCUAACUCACUUCAAAUAAAUUGAUCUGAAUUUUUUUCUAAGAGCAGCUGUGUCCCUAUGUGUGGAGGAGUGGGUGGUAAGAGGGGGGGAAAUAAUGAUUAGAUGCCACCAACGGGAUUUUCUAAAUAGCAAAGAAUUUAUUCUACUUCAGAGUUUUGACUAGGGCUCAUCAUGCUGAUGAUACAUUGUAAAUUAUUUUCAUCUGACUUUCUUUUAGAAAAUAUAAGAAUACAAUUUAGAGGGAAAUGAAAGCAAAGAAUAAAAUAGUAAGGACUAUAUCAGCAAAGUCCUUAUCCUAUAAUGUCAAAUCUUCCAUCAUAUGGAAUCUAAGACACCAUAAUUGUAAAACAUGCCAUAAUGUACUAAUAAAAAAGAAAAAAACAAACCAUGACAAAAGGCUUUCCUAAC